rnacentral:rRNA from 1 species
UACGAAGGGGGCUAGCGUUGCUCGGAAUCACUGGGCGUAAAGCGCACGUAGGCGGAUUGCUAAGUCAGGGGUGAAAUCCUGGAGCUCAACUCCAGAACUGCCUUUGAUACUGAAGAUCUUGAGUUCGGGAGAGGUGAGUGGAACUGCGAGUGUAGAGGUGAAAUUCGUAGAUAUCCGCAAGAACACCAGUGGCGAAGGCGGCUCACUGGCCCGAUACUGACGCUGAGGCACGAAAGCGUGGGGAGCAAACAGG